GAGUUUGAUCAUGGCUCAGGAUGAACGCUAGCGGCAGGCUUAACACAUGCAAGUCGAGGGGUAUAGUUCUUCGGAAUUAGAGACCGGCGCACGGGUGCGUAACGCGUAUGCAAUCUACCUUUCACAGAGGGAUAGCCCAGAGAAAUUUGGAUUAAUACCUCAUAGUAUAACGACUCCGCAUGGAGAUGUUAUUAAAGUCACAACGGUGAAAGAUGAGCAUGCGUCCCAUUAGCUAGUUGGUAAGGUAACGGCUUACCAAGGCUACGAUGGGUAGGGGUCCUGAGAGGGAGAUCCCCCACACUGGUACUGAGACACGGACCAGACUCCUACGGGAGGCAGCAGUGAGGAAUAUUGGACAAUGGGCGCAAGCCUGAUCCAGCCAUGCCGCGUGCAGGAUGACGGUCCUAUGGAUUGUAAACUGCUUUUGCACAGGAAGAAACAACGCUACGUGUAGCGUCUUGACGGUACUGUGAGAAUAAGGAUCGGCUAACUCCGUGCCAGCAGCCGCGGUAAUACGGAGGAUCCAAGCGUUAUCCGGAAUCAUUGGGUUUAAAGGGUCCGUANGCGGUUUAGUAAGUCAGUGGUGAAAGCCCAUCGCUCAACGGUGGAACGGCCAUUGAUACUGCUAGACUUG
rnacentral:rRNA from 1 species